rnacentral:rRNA from 1 species
UACGUAGGGGGCAAGCGUUGUCCGGAAUCAUUGGGCGUAAAGAGCGUGUAGGCGGCUUGGUAAGUCCGCUGUGAAAGUCCAGGGCUCAACCCUGGAAAGCCGGUGGAAACUGUCAAGCUUGAGUCCGGAAGAGGCGAGUGGAAUUCCUGGUGUAGCGGUGAAAUGCGCAGAUAUCAGGAGGAACACCAAUGGCGAAGGCGGCUCUCUGGGACGGUACUGACGCUGAGACGCGAAAGCGUGGGGAGCGAACAGG